UGGGGAAUUUUGGACAAUGGGCGAAGCCUGAUCCAGCAAUGCCGCGUGUGUGAAGAAGGCCUUCGGGUUGUAAAGCACUUUUGUCCGGAAAGAAAUCCUUGGCUCUAAUACAGUCGGGGGAUGACGGUACCGGAAGAAUAAGCACCGGCUAACUACGUGCCAGCAGCCGCGGUAAUACGUAGGGUGCAAGCGUUAAUCGGAAUUACUGGGCGUAAGCGUGCGCAGGCGGUUUGCUAAGACCGAUGUGAAAUCCCCGGGCUCAACCUGGGAACUGCAUUGGUGACUGGCAGGCUAGAGUAUGGCAGGAGGGGGGUAGAAUUCCACGUGUAGCAGUGAAAUGCGUAGAGAUGUGGAGGAAUACCGAUGGCGAAGGCAGCCCCCCUGGGGCCAAUACUGACGCUCAUGCACGAAAGCGUGGGGGAGC
rnacentral:rRNA from 1 species